CCUACGGGAGGCAGCAGUGAGGAAUAUUGGUCAAUGGACGAGAGUCUGAACCAGCCAAGUAGCGUGAAGGAUGACUGCCCUAUGGGUUGUAAACUUCUUUUAUAUGGGAAUAAAAUGUUCCACGUGUGGGAUUUUGUAUGUACCAUAUGAAUAAGGAUCGGCUAACUCCGUGCCAGCAGCCGCGGUAAUACGGAGGAUCCGAGCGUUAUCCGGAUUUAUUGGGUUUAAAGGGAGCGUAGGUGGAUUGUUAAGUCAGUUGUGAAAGUUUGCGGCUCAACCGUAAAAUUGCAGUUGAAACUGGCAGUCUUGAGUACAGUAGAGGUGGGCGGAAUUCGUGGUAUAGCGGUGAAAUGCUUAGAUAUCACGAAGAACUCCGAUUGCGAAGGCAGUUCACUGGACUGCAACUGACACUGAGGCUCGAAAGUGUGGGUAUCAAACAGGAUUAGAUACCCGAGUAGUC
rnacentral:rRNA from 1 species